UCAGAUUGGCCCUUCUAGGUUGACCCUGAAUUCUUUGACUUGAACGUAAUAGGCCUCGCCCCUUUGCGCCAGGUGGUCCAGGAACUGGAGGUGCAGCAGGUCCAGGAACUGGAGGCGCAGCAGGUCCAGGAACUGGAGGCGCAGCAGGAGAUCCAAAUCGAGCACCAGAAGGUGGUCCAGGAACUGGAGGCGCAGCAGGAGAUGGUGAUGAAGUGGCGGGGGAGCUUGACAAUCCUUUGGCACAAGGAGCAGGAG
rnacentral:lncRNA from 1 species